rnacentral:rRNA from 1 species
GACGAACGCUGGCGGCGUGCUUAACACAUGCAAGUCGAACGGAAAGGCCCUGCUUUUGUGGGGUGCUCGAGUGGCGAACGGGUGAGUAACACGUGAGUAACCUGCCCUUGACUUUGGGAUAACUUCAGGAAACUGGGGCUAAUACCGGAUAGGAGCUCCUGCUGCAUGGUGGGGGUUGGAAAGUUUCGGCGGUUGGGGAUGGACUCGCGGCUUAUCAGCUUGUUGGUGGGGUAGUGGCUUACCAAGGCUUUGACGGGUAGCCGGCCUGAGAGGGUGACCGGCCACAUUGGGACUGAGAUACGGCCCAGACUCCUACGGGAGGCAGCAGUGGGGAAUAUUGCACAAUGGGCGGAAGCCUGAUGCAGCAACGCCGCGUGCGGGAUGGCGGCCUUCGGGUUGUAAACCGCUUUCGCCUGUGACGAAGCGUGAGUGACGGUAAUGGGUAAAGAAGCACCGGCUAACUACGUGCCAGCAGCCGCGGUGAUACGUAGGGUGCGAGCGUUGUCCGGAUUUAUUGGGCGUAAAGGGCUCGUAGGUGGUUGAUCGCGUCGGAAGUGUAAUCUUGGGGCUUAACCCUGAGCGUGCUUUCGAUACGGGUUGACUUGAGGAAGGUAGGGGAGAAUGGAAUUCCUGGUGGAGCGGUGGAAUGCGCAGAUAUCAGGAGGAACACCAGUGGCGAAGGCGGUUCUCUGGGCCUUUCCUGACGCUGAGGAGCGAAAGCGUGGGGAGCGAACAGGCUUAGAUACCCUGGUAGUCCACGCUGUAAACGGUGGGUACUAGGUGUGGGGUCCAUUCCACGGGUUCCGUGCCGUAGCUAACGCUUUAAGUACCCCGCCUGGGGAGUACGGCCGCAAGGCUAAAACUCAAAGGAAUUGACGGGGCCCCGCACAAGCGGCGGAGCAUGCGGAUUAAUUCGAUGCAACGCGUAGAACCUUACCUGGGUUUGACAUGGAUCGGGAGUGCUCAGAGAUGGGUGUGCCUCUUUUGGGGUCGGUUCACAGGUGGUGCAUGGCUGUCGUCAGCUCGUGUCGUGAGAUGUUGGGUUAAGUCCCGCAACGGGCGCAACCCUUGUUCACUGUUGCCAGCACGUUAUGGUGGGGACUCAGUGGAGACCGCCGGGGUCAACUCGGAGGAAGGUGGGGAUGACGUCAAGUCAUCAUGCCCCUUAUGUCCAGGGCUUCACGCAUGCUACAAUGGCUGGUACAGAGAGUGGCGAGCCUGUGAGGGUGAGCGAAUCUCGGAAAGCCGGUCUCAGUUCGGAUUGGGGUCUGCAACUCGACCUCAUGAAGUCGGAGUCGCUAGUAAUCGCAGAUCAGCAACGCUGCGGUGAAUACGUUCCCGGG